rnacentral:rRNA from 1 species
GAUUGAACAUAAUAAGGGCAUUUGGUGGAUGCCUUGGCAUUAGAAGGCGAUGAAAGACGUGGCACGCUGCGAAAAGCCUCGGGGAGAUGCGAGCAAUCGUUGAUCCGAGGAUAUCUGAAUGGGGGAACCCACCUGUUUAUCAGGUACCCUGACAUGAAUACAUAGUGUCUGGGAGCAAACCCAGUGAACUGAAAUAUCUAAGUAGCUGGAGGAAAGGACAUCAAACGAGACUCCGUUAGUAGUGACGAGCGAACGCGGAACAGGCCAGUGGCCUAAGGUGGAUAACUGGAACAGAAUGGAAAGUCUGGCCAAAGAAAGUGAUAGCCUUGUACAGGUAAAUAACCUUAGGUCCUUGAGUAAGGCGGGGCACGUGAAACCCUGUCUGAACGUGGGAGGACCAUCUUCCAAGCCUAAGUACUCUCUAAUGACCGAUAGUGCACAAGUACCGUGAGGGAAAGGUGAAAAGAACCCCGAUAAGGGGAGUGAAAUAGAACCUGAAACCAAAUGCUUACAAGCAGUAGGAGGGGACAUUGAUCCCUGACUGCGUACCUCUUGUAUAAUGGGUCAGCGACUUAGUCUGUCUAGCAAGCUUAAGCCGUUAGGUGUAGGCGUAGCGAAAGCGAGUCUUAAAUGGGCGUUAAGUUAGACGGAUUAGACCCGAAACCGUGUGAUCUAGCCAUGGGCAGAUUGAAGGCGCAGUAACAUGCGCUGGAGGAUCGAACUCAUUACCGUUGAAAAGGUACGGGAUGACCUGUGGUUAGGGUGAAAGGCCAAUCAAACUCGGAAAUAGCUGGUUCUCCGCGAAAUCUAUUUAGGUAGAGCGUCGUAUGUUUACCCUCGGGGGUAGAGCACUGGAUGGGCUAGGGGGUCCCAAAGACUUACCAAACCUAACCAAACUCCGAAUACCGAAGAGUAUAGUACGGCAGGCAGACCAUGGGUGCUAAGGUCCGUGGUCGAGAGGGGAAGAGCCCAGACCGCCAUCUAAGGUCCCCAAAUCAUGACUAAGUGUGAAAGGAUGUGAGGAAGCCAUGACAGUCAGGAGGUUGGCUUAGAAGCAGCCAUCCUUUAAAGAAAGCGUAAUAGCUCACUGAUCUAAUCAAGCUACCUUGCGCCUAAGAUGUAACGGGGCUAAAGUCAUGUACCGAAGAUGCGGAUUCAGGAAUUCCGCGUGAAUUCCUGAGUGGUAGCGGAGCGUUCUGUAAGCCUGUGAAGGUGUACCGCGAGGUAUGCUGGAGGUAUCAGAAGUGAGAAUGCUGACAUGAGUAGCGACAAAAAGUGUGAGAAACACUUUCGCCGAAAGUCCAAGGGUUCCUGCGUAAAGUUAAUCUGCGCAGGGUUAGUCGGCCCCUAAGGCGAGGCCGAAAGGCGUAGUCGAUGGGAACUAGGUUAAUAUUCCUAGACCUGUGGGUAGUGACGGAUCCCGUAUAUUGUGUGUGCUUAUUGGAUUGCACAUGCUAUGAAGGGGUUCCAGGAAAUAGCUCCCACGUAUAGACCGUACCCGAAACCGACACAGGUGGACUGGUAGAGUAUACCAAGGCGCUUGAGAGAACGAUGCUGAAGGAACUCGGCAAAUUGCACUCGUAACUUCGGAAGAAGAGUGGCCUGCAUUUGGGCAACCAAGUGUGGGUGGCACAGAGCAGGGGGUAGCGACUGUUUAACAAAAACACAGGGCUAUGCAAAAUCAUUUAAGAUGAUGUAUAUGGUCUGACGCCUGCCCAGUGCCGGAAGGUUAAAAGGAGGAGUGCAAGCUCUGAAUUGAAGCCCCGGUGAACGGCGGCCGUAACUAUGACGGUCCUAAGGUAGCGAAAUUCCUUGUCGGGUAAGUUCCGACCCGCACGAAUGGCGUAACGACUUCCCCACUGUCUCCAGCAUCGGCUCAGCGAAAUUGAAUUCUCCGUGAAGAUGCGGAGUACCCGCGGUUAGACGGAAAGACCCCGUGCACCUUUACUACAACUUUGCAGUGAUAUUAGAGAUAGUUGUGUAGGAUAGGUGGGAGGCUAUGAAUCAGUGGCGCCAGCCAUUGUGGAGCCAACCUUGAAAUACCACCCUAUUUAUUUUUGAUAUCUAACCACGUCCCAUGAAACUGGGACUGGGACCCUGCAUGGUGGGUAGUUUGACUGGGGCGGUCGCCUCCCAAAUCGUAACGGAGGCGCGCGAAGGUAAGCUCAGGCUGGUCAGAAAUCAGCUUUUAGAGUGCAAAGGCAUAAGCUUGCCUGACUGCGAGGAGUACAUUCCGAGCAGAGACGAAAGUCGGUCUUAGUGAUCCGGUGGUUCUGUAUGGAAGGGCCAUCGCUCAACGGAUAAAAGGUACGCCGGGGAUAACAGGCUGAUGAUUCCCAAGAGUUCAUAUCGACGGAAUCGUUUGGCACCUCGAUGUCGGCUCAUCACAUCCUGGGGCUGGAGCAGGUCCCAAGGGUUUGGCUGUUCGCCAAUUAAAGUGGUACGUGAGCUGGGUUCAGAACGUCGCGAGACAGUUCGGUCCCUAUCUGCCGUGGGUGUAGGAAAUUUGAGAGGAUCUGCCUUUAGUACGAGAGGACCGAGGUGGACGUACCUCUGGUGCACCUGUUGUCACGCCAGUGGCACAGCAGGGUAGCUAUGUACGGUCGGGAUAACCGCUGAAAGCAUCUAAGCGGGAAGCCUCCCUCAAAACUAGAUUUCCCCAUUAAGAUCGUGGUAGACCACCACGUUGAUAGGCUGGGUGUGUAAGCGCAGUAAUGCGUUAAGCUUACCAGUACUAAUAAUCUGAUUGGUUUAAUCGC